rnacentral:ncRNA from 1 species
UUACAGUGAUGCCGACAAGGUGGCCGGAGACGGUCCUAGAGGGAAUGCGGUAAGAAGCCGCAGCGGUCCCGCCACUGUAUUUGGGAACGAAAGCCGCAAGUAAGCCACUGUGCCCUUCCGGGGGCAUGGGAAGACGCGGCCGGUAGGUCAUACCCAAGAGCCAGGAGACCUGCCUUGUUGGUAGCCCAUGA